GAUGAACGCUGGCGGCGUGCUUAACACAUGCAAGUCGAACGAAGCACUUUAACUUGAUUUCUUCGGAAAGAUUGUUAUUGUGACUGAGUGGCGGACGGGUGAGUAACGCGUGGGUAACCUGCCUCAUACAGGGGGAUAACAGUUGGAAACGACUGCUAAUACCGCAUAAGCGCACGGUAUCGCAUGAUACAGUGUGAAACACUCCGGUGGUACGAGAUGGACCCGCGUCUGAUUAGCUAGUUGGCGGAGUAACGGCCCACCAAGGCAACGAUCAGUAGCCGACCUGAGAGGGUGACCGGCCACAUUGGGACUGAGACACGGCCCAAACUCCUACGGGAGGCAGCAGUGGGGAAUAUUGCACAAUGGGCGAAAGCCUGAUGCAGCGACGCCGCGUGAACGAUGAAGUAUUUCGGUAUGUAAAGUUCUAUCAGCAGGGAAGAAGAAUGACGGUACCUGACUAAGAAGCACCGGCUAAAUACGUGCCAGCCGCCGCUGUAA
rnacentral:rRNA from 1 species